rnacentral:rRNA from 1 species
GGGUUGUGAGGUUAAGCGACUAAGCGUACACGGUGGAUGCCCUGGCAGUCAGAGGCGAUGAAGGACGUGCUAAUCUGCGAUAAGCGUCGGUAAGGUGAUAUGAACCGUUAUAACCGGCGAUUUCCGAAUGGGGAAACCCAGUGUGAUUCGUCACACUAUCAUUAACUGAAUCCAUAGGUUAAUGAGGCGAACCGGGGGAACUGAAACAUCUAAGUACCCCGAGGAAAAGAAAUCAACCGAGAUUCCCCCAGUAGCGGCGAGCGAACGGGGAGCAGCCCAGAGCCUGAAUCAGUGUGUGUGUUAGUGGAAGUGUCUGGAAAGGCGCGCGAUACAGGGUGACAGCCCCGUACACAAAAAUGCACAUGCUGUGAGCUCGAUGAGUAGGGCGGGACACGUGGUAUCCUGUCUGAAUAUGGGGGGACCAUCCUCCAAGGCUAAAUACUCCUGACUGACCGAUAGUGAACCAGUACCGUGAGGGAAAGGCGAAAAGAACCCCGGCGAGGGGAGUGAAAAAGAACCUGAAACCGUGUACGUACAAGCAGUGGGAGCACGCUUAGGCGUGUGACUGCGUACCUUUUGUAUAAUGGGUCAGCGACUUAUAUUCUGUAGCAAGGUUAACCGAAUAGGGGAGCCGAAGGGAAACCGAGUCUUAACUGGGCGUUAAGUUGCAGGGUAUAGACCCGAAACCCGGUGAUCUAGCCAUGGGCAGGUUGAAGGUUGGGUAACACUAACUGGAGGACCGAACCGACUAAUGUUGAAAAAUUAGCGGAUGACUUGUGGCUGGGGGUGAAAGGCCAAUCAAACCGGGAGAUAGCUGGUUCUCCCCGAAAGCUAUUUAGGUAGCGCCUCGUGAAUUCAUCUCCGGGGGUAGAGCACUGUUUCGGCAAGGGGGUCAUCCCGACUUACCAACCCGAUGCAAACUGCGAAUACCGGAGAAUGUUAUCACGGGAGACACACGGCGGGUGCUAACGUCCGUCGUGAAGAGGGAAACAACCCAGACCGCCAGCUAAGGUCCCAAAGUCAUGGUUAAGUGGGAAACGAUGUGGGAAGGCCCAGACAGCCAGGAUGUUGGCUUAGAAGCAGCCAUCAUUUAAAGAAAGCGUAAUAGCUCACUGGUCGAGUCGGCCUGCGCGGAAGAUGUAACGGGGCUAAACCAUGCAC